rnacentral:rRNA from 1 species
ACUGCUCAGUAACACGUAGCUAACCUACCCUUAGGACGUCGAUAACCCCGAGAAAUUGGGGCUAAUAGGCGAUAGAUGUAUUGUCCUGGAAUGGUAAUACGUCCAAAGGUAUCCCAUACAUGUUUGGUAUACGCCUAAGGAUGGGGCUGCGGCCGAUCAGGCUGUUGGUGAGGUAAUGGCUCACCAAACCUUUGACCGGUAUGGGCCAUGAGAGUGGUAGCCCAGAGAUGGACACUGAGACAAGGGUCCAGGCCCUACGGGGCGCAGCAGGCGCGAAACCUCCUCAAUGCACUAACGUGCGAAGGGGUUACCUCGAGUGCCACCUGAAGAAGGUGGCUUUUCCUUGGUCUAAAAAGCCUCGGGAAUAAGAGGGGGGCAAGACUGGUGUCAGCCGCCGCGGUAACACCAGCCCCUCGAGUGGUGGGGAUGAUUAUUUGGCCUAAAGCGUCCGUAGCCGGCCGGGUAAGUUUCCCGUUAAAUCCAGCGUCUCAAGCGUUGGACUGCGGGAAAUACUGCCUGGCUAGAGAGUGGGAGAGGUCAGCGGUAUUCUGGGGGUAGGGGCGAAAUCCUUUGAUCCCCGGAGGACCACCAGUGGCGAAGGCUGCUGACUAGAACACGUCUGACGGUCAGGGACGAAAGCUGGGGUAGCGAACCGGAUUAGAUACCCGGGUAGUCCCAGCCGUAAACGAUGCAUGCUAGGUGUUGGGUUGGCCACGAGCCACCCCAGUGCCGCAGGGAAGCCGUUAAGCAUGCCGCCUGGGAAGUACGAUCGCAAGGUUGAAACUUAAAGGAAUUGGCAGGGGAG